rnacentral:rRNA from 1 species
AUGUUUGUUCCUUCGAUUCAAGAGAAGGUACCCUGGAGUUCUUCAAAUUCUUCUGUUUACGCACGAAUAGGGGCCCUCGAUAUUGGUGGCAGCGCUAGCGGCCAGCCCUCAAUCGCGACGGCGUCAGAUGACGCCGGAAGCGAACUUCUUCCUCUGUCUGAUCCGUGGCAAAUGGCCGCCGGUCGUCGCUUCGGCCGUCGCACCGCUGGACGGGGUCACAGCGCCGCUGGAAGAGGCGCGCGUGGCGAUCAGCACGCCCAUGGACGCGGCCACUGCGACGCAGGACGCGCCUCCCGUGGUGCUCACCACGCCCCUGGGGACGGCCUUGCCGCCGCUGGAUGUGCACAGCCGGUGAGCAUGGGGUUCGACCCCUGGCUUGUGGCCAGCCCCCGGGCUCCGCCUCCACCCCUCGAGCGUCGUUCGUUUUGGGGCAGAGAUGGAGAAUUCCGACUCCACCGGUCGGCCGUGGCUGGUGAUGGCCGCGGGAUCGAGCAGCCGCGCAGAUCUGCGCUUCGGCCGCCCCUUGGUCGCGCCGUCAGCCCUCAGCCCUCAUCUGCCUCCGCCAGAGUGCAGGCUCCGUUGUCGUUGUCUCCUCUUCUGACGAGGAGGCUUCGUCGGGGCACGCCGGUGAUCGCCGGAGAUGCGUGGGGGCGCCGCGGCCAAGACCACUGCCGGCGGCACCGAUGCAAGGUGUGGAUCGGGUUUGGUUGGGAUCGAUCGAUCCCCAACCCUAACCGCCUCCUUUUACUCGGUGCGGCGGCCGUUGGGCCACCAAAGGCCGUGGAGGCCCAGGCCCAGGCACCUGGGGCGACCUCCGGCUGCCCCUUCCCCCUCCGCUCGGCCGUGGACCGAAAUUCAUUUUUUCUCUCUCUGUUUUUAUUAACAGUAUACUAUUUACUAGUAUUUCAUGUCUUAGACCCUGUUAAUUACUGCAUUUUCUGUUGA